rnacentral:misc_RNA from 1 species
GAUGAAGAACGUAGCGAAAUGCGAUAAGUAGUGUGAAUUGCAGAAUUCAGUGAAUCAUCGAAUCUUUGAACGCACAUUGCGCCCCUUGGUAUUCCCUGGGGGAUGCCUGUUCGAGCGUCAUUUGUACCCUCAAGCUUUGCUUGGUGUUGGGUGUUUGUCCCGCGUUGCGCGUGGACUCGCCUUAAAACGAAUGGCAGCCGGCAUAUUGGCCUUGGAGCGCAGCACAUUUUGCGCUUCUAGUCAUGAAUGUUGGCGUCCAUUAAGCCUAUACAUUUGCUCUUGACCUCGGAUCAGGUAGGGAUACCAGCUGAACUUAAGCAUAUCAUAAGCGGAGGA